GCAUCAACUACAGAAGCAGGGAAUAGGCUCCUGUCCUAUGGGUCUUUCUGGCUCGUACAAGGCUUACAUACUUACUUAGGGGUAUCGGGUGCCUUUUGGGAAGUAACUCCUGUAAUAGUGUUUUUUUAUUCUGCUUUACCCCCUGUUUUUCAGGCAGCCACUAAGGUGGUCAAGGCAGGCCAGGAGACAGGGGAGGAUUCUGAGACUCGGGAGGCGUCAUAUACUACCAGCCAAUCUUCUGAACACUCCAAAGUGAAUCAGGAGACCGGUGUUCUUAUGAGACCCAAGAAGAAGAAGCUGCUGUCAACAAGGAAUAUUCAUCCCUGGAAACCAGAGUCUGGCAAGAAGCCUGCACUCACUGUUAUGAGAAAAGGGGUGUCGACGAGGUUGACCUCCCGAAGAGCCUCGUCUGAGACGACCCUGAACACCACGACUCUUAGCAACACAACUCUGAACACCAAUACAACCAGGAAGACUCAUGGCAGGUGGCCGUGGGAUCUGGACUUGGCGCUGAAGGCGGGAGUGAAGCGUCACGGGGAGGGGAAAUGGUCGCGUAUCCUCCAGGAACACGACUUCCAGGGGCGCACGGGGGUUCAACUCAAAGACCGUUGGAGGGUCCUCAAGAAGGCGCAUAAAGUCAACUCCUCCUAAGGCCCGUGUCUCAAAUGGGAUCUUAUUCACUACGAAGUGCACUACUUUUGACCAGAGCCCUAUGAGACCUCCUGAAUAGGGAAAAAAAGGGUGUGACCUUCGGGACUAAGUUUUUAAAAAUAUUUAUUUACCUUUAUUUAACCAGGCAAGUCAGUUAAGAACAAAUUCUUAUUUUCAAUGAUGGCCUAGGAACAGUGAGUUAAACUGCCUUGUUCAGGGGCAGAACGCUAGAUUUUGUACCUUGUCAGCUCGGGGGUUUGAACUUGCAACCUUCCGGUUACAACGCUCUAACCACUAGGCUACCCUGCUGUCCCAGGUUAGUCCGUUUGUGGAUUCUGGGGUUUAUAUAUACGGUACUCUACUGUUAGUAAUCUUGCCUAGUUUUAAUAAAUAGUGUUCAGGCUCCUUAGUUCUCUUCUUUAAGCUCUGUUUUAAACUUAGUGUAUUAGUACCGCUCACUGUACAGUUUUAUAUAAGGGAUUGUAAAUAGGUUAUGUGUCCUUGUAUUUCCAGAGUUGGUGUGUGUGUGUGUGUGUGAGAGAGUAAGUUUAAGGCUGUGAUUCAAUCCGAGGGAGACGAUGUCCCAUUUGAGUGGAAAUAUGCCCGGGUUUACCAUGACUCUCCAUAAACAAACACGAGAACGUUUUAAAAAAGCUGCAUUGUGUUCAACCUGAAACUGGGUUGAAUCCCGGCCUUUCUUAACACAAGGCUUCAAUGCCAUUAACCGGUAACCACCAGUAGCUGACAUGAUAUUACUACCAGUGACCACCAGUAGCUGGCAUGAUAUUACUACCAGUGACCACCAGUAGCUGGCAUGAUAUUACUACCAGUGACCACCAGUAGCUGGCAUGAUAUUACUACCAGUGACCACCAGUAGCUGGCAUGAUAUUACUACCAGUGACCACCAGUAGCUGGCAUGAUAUUACUACCAGUGACCACCAGUAGCUGGCAUGAUAUUACUACCAGUAACCACCAGUAGCUGGCAUGAUAUUACUACCAGUAACCACCAGUAGCUGGCAUGAUAUUACUACCAGUAACCACCAGUAGCUGGCAUGAUAUUACUACCAGUAACCACCAGUAGCUGGCAUGAUAUUACUACCAGUAACCACCAGUAGCUGGCAUGAUAUUACUACCAGUAACCACCAGUAGCUGGCAUGAUAUUACUACCAGUAACCACCAGUAGCUGGCAUGAUAUUACUACCAGUAACCACCAGUAGCUGGCAUGAUAUUACUACCAGUAACCACCAGUAGCUGGCAUGAUAUUACUACCAGUGACCACCAGUAGCUGGCAUGAUAUUACUACCAGUGACCAGCAGAGGGAGCUAUAUAUCUUUCUGUGGACAAUAGCAGCUUAACUUGUAUUUCAACUUUAGUUUAUUAUUUUUUUACAAAACCAUUUAUCCUUCUAGUUAUCAGUGGCUAAAGAAACAACGAUCUGAACAAAUUGUUCAAUAGAAAUGGAAAAAUUAGUCCAACAUUUAAUAAAAAUGUCUUUGUGUUUAUUUUAUAUAUUUCACAGUGUAUUUAUUUCUGCAAUAGGGACAAUACAAAAUAACAAUUGUGUUAUUGUAAAGUAGUCAUCUCUCAUUUUGGACCGUCAUAUCUUGUCUGUACACAGGAAGGAGAUACUCGAAUGUGUUCGUGAAAUAUUCUGUUAAAUAAAGAUCAUUGAUUUGGUGUGUGAUUUAUUUAUUUUUUGCUGUUUUAAGUACGAAUGUAGCUUGUUGAAGCUUGUGUCUGAAAAGUCGCCGUAUUCCCUACAGAGUGCUCAACUUUUUGAUCAGAGCUCAAAGUGCCCUAGUCUCACCUGGCCAGCCGUCCUAAAAAAAAAAAAAACCUGUCUGGUUCACUGGAGCCACUGUGAGAAGGUUUCUGAGGCUUUCUAGGCUGCUUGCAACUAAACCAACUAUGGGGUAAUACAGGCAGGGUUGGCUUACGUUGUUGACACCCGAGUAAACUAUAUUUCAUCACCAAAUGUUUAUUGAAAACAUAAAUACGGAG
rnacentral:lncRNA from 13 species